rnacentral:rRNA from 1 species
GACGAACGCUGGCGGCGUGCUUAACACAUGCAAGUCGAACGGUGAAGCGCCUUCCUUUUUGGUGGGUGUGGAUGAGUGGCGAACGGGUGAGUAACACGUGAGUAACCUGCCCCCUUCUUCUGGAUAACCGCAUGAAAGUGUGGCUAAUACGGGAUAUUCUGGGUCUGUCGCAUGAUGGGUCUGGGAAAGAUAUUGUUUCGGUGGGGGAUGGGCUCGCGGCCUAUCAGCUUGUUGGUGGGGUGAUGGCCUACCAAGGCGGUGACGGGUAGCCGGCCUGAGAGGGUGGACGGUCACACUGGGACUGAGACACGGCCCAGACUCCUACGGGAGGCAGCAGUGGGGAAUAUUGCACAAUGGGAGCAAGCAUGAUGCAGCGACGCCGCGUGAGGGAUGGAGGCCUUCGGGUUGUGAACCUCUUUCGCCAGUGAAGCAGGCCUGCCUCGUUUGUGGGUGGGUUGACGGUAGCUGGAUAAGAAGCGCCGGCUAACUACGUG